CACACAAAAGAGGCUAUGAAAUUGCUGGAAAAUGAUCUAACACUUUUAAAUAAAGAUUUGCAGCUGCCAAAAGAGAUCUCUCCAAAACCGAAUGGGGCACCCGAACCCAGCCAACCAUUUUUUAAACGAGUGAAAAGAAAUAUAGAGCAAAAAAUUCAAAACGACAGAGCUGACUCUAUAGUUCACAUCAGGAAUUAUUAUACAAAUCGUAAUCUUGACGAAAAUCAGGAUCCCCUAAUGUAUUGGAAGAACGCCAACAACGACGUUGCUUUUAAAAAAAACGGCAAAAAAAUACCUCUAUAUCCCGGCAACAUCCGCUGAGAGCGAGAGGAUGUUUAGCAAAGCUGGAAUGAUUGCUAAUUCAAGAAGGGCGUCAUUAAAACCGGAAAAACUCAACAAACUAACUUUUUUUUUUUUUAA